rnacentral:rRNA from 1 species
GACGAACGCUGGCGGCGUGCUUAACACAUGCAAGUCACGGGGGUCCCGGGGGCAACCUUGGGAUAACCGGCGAACGGGUGCGUAACACGUGAACAACCUGCCCUCGUGUGGGGGAUAGCCAUGCUAACGCGUGGGUAAUACCGCAUACGUUCUCUUUGGGGAGUCCCGAGGAGAGGAAAGCUCCGGCGCACGGGGAGGGGUUCGCGGCCUAUCAGCUAGUUGGCGGGGUAAUGGCCCACCAAGGCGACGACGGGUAGCUGGUCUGAGAGGAUGGCCAGCCACAUUGGGACUGAGAGACGGCCCAGACUCCUACGGGAGGCAGCAGUGGGGAAUCUUGCGCAAUGGUCUAACGACUGACGCAGCGACGCCGCGUGUGGGAGGACGCCUUUCGGGUGUAACCACUGUGCCCGGGACGAACAGCCUUAUUCGUAAGGUCUGACGGUACCGGGUGAGGAAGCACCGGCUAACUCCGU